rnacentral:rRNA from 1 species
GAUGAAACUUUUUUGAUUUCUUCGGAAUGAAAAAAAGUGGAUUAGUGGCGGACGGGUGAGUAACGCGUGAGUAACCUGCCUUAGAGAAGGGGAUAGCCUUUGGAAACGAAGAAUAAUACCCUAUGAAACCAUAACCUCGCAUGAGGCCAUGGUCAAAGAUUUAUCGCUCUAAGAUGGACUUGCGUCUGAUUAGUUAGUUGGUGGGGUAACGGCCCACCAAGACAGCGAUCAGUAGCCGGCUUGAGAGAGUGUACGGCCACAUUGGGACUGAGACACGGCCCAGACUCCUACGGGAGGCAGCAGUGGGGAAUUUUGCACAAUGGGGGAAACCCUGAUGCAGCGACGCCGCGUGAUUUAGAAGGCCUUCGGGUUGUAAAAAUCUUUUCUAUGGGAAGAAAAUGACAGUACCAUAGGAAUAAGGACCGGCUAAUUACGUGCCAGCAGCCGCGGUAAUACGUAAGGUCCGAGCGUUGUCCGGAAUCAUUGGGCGUAAAGGGUACGUAGGCGGGUAAGCAAGUUAGAAGUGAAAUCCUAUAGCUCAACUAUAGUAAGCUUUUAAAACUGCUCAUCUUGAGGUAUGGAAGGGAAAGUGGAAUUCCUAGUGUAGCGGUGAAAUGCGCAGAUAUUAGGAGGAAUACCGGUGGCGAAGGCGACUUUCUGGCCAUAACCUGACGCUGAGGUACGAAAGCGUGGGUAGCAAACAGGAUUAGAUACCCUGGUAGUCCACGCCGUAAACGAUGAGUGUUAGGUGUCUGGAGUAAAUCUGGGUGCCGCAGCUAACGCAUUAAACACUCCGCCUGGGGAGUACGCGCGCAAGCGUG